rnacentral:misc_RNA from 1 species
GAUGAAGAACGUAGCGAAAUUCGAUAAGUAAUGUGAAUUGCAGAAUUCAGUGAAUCAUCGAAUCUUUGAACGCACAUUGCGCCCGCCAGUAUUCUGGCGGGCAUGCCUGUCCGAGCGUCAUUUCAACCCUCGAACCCCUCCGGGGGGUCGGCGUUGGGGACCUCGGGAGCCCCUAAGACGGGAUCCCGGCCCCGAAAUACAGUGGCGGUCUCGCCGCAGCCUCUCCUGCGCAGUAGUUUGCACAACUCGCACCGGGAGCGCGGCGCGUCCACGUCCGUAAAACACCCAACUUCUGAAAUGUUGACCUCGGAUCAGGUAGGAAUACCCGCUGAACUUAAGCAUAUCAAUAAGCGGAGGA